GACGAACGCUGGCGGCGUGCUUAACACAUGCAAGUCGAACGGAAAGGCCUCUUUCGGGGGGUACUCGAGUGGCGAGCGGGUGAGUAACACGUGAGUAACCUGCCCUUGACUUUGGGAUAACUUCAGGAAACUGGGGCUAAUACCGGAUAGGAGCUCCUGCUGCAUGGUGGGGGUUGGAAAGUUUCGGCGGUUGGGGAUGGACUCGCGGCUUAUCAGCUUGUUGGUGGGGUAGUGGCUUACCAAGGCUUUGACGGGUAGCCGGCCUGAGAGGGUGACCGGCCGCAUUGGGACUGAGAUACGGCCCAGACUCCUACGGGAGGCAGCAGUGGGGAAUAUUGCACAAUGGGUGGAAGCCUGAUGCAGCAACGCCGUGUGCGGGAUGACUGCCUUCGGGUUGUAACCCGCUUUCGCUCAUGACGAAGCUUUGUGUGACGGUAGUGGGUAAAGAAGCACCGGCUAACUACGUG
rnacentral:rRNA from 1 species